CAGUGACCCUUUUUCAGAAAUAUUACGGGAUUUAAAUAAAGAUCUGGAAAAUAUAAUUGCAAAAAGCCAGGAACAAAUACAAUCUGAUAUAAACAAACAAGCACAACCAAUAAAUGACUCUAAUAUACAGAAAUUAUGGGAUUUAAAUAAACAGCUGGAAAAUAUUGCUGCAAAAAGCCGGGAACAAAUACAACCUGAUAUAAACAAACCCACACAACCACUAAAGUGAGUAUCUAUGUGGCACGACAUGUUCUGAUAUUGCACUAUAAUAAUGUAAAGUGAAUAGACGGCAGGAACUUUCCUGAGACCGACAUGUCGGGUGUCUGUAUAAUAAUUUAUUUAUCCUUAUGGGAACAGUGAGUGCAGUGAGUUGUACAGUAACAGCCGUGUAACCUCUCUCUUUUUUCCACUUUAUAUUUAC